rnacentral:rRNA from 1 species
UACGGAGGGUGCAAGCGUUAAUCGGAAUUACUGGGCGUAAAGCGCACGCAGGCGGUUUGUUAAGUCAGAUGUGAAAUCCCCGCGCUUAACGUGGGAACUGCAUUUGAAACUGGCAAGCUAGAGUCUUGUAGAGGGGGGUAGAAUUCCAGGUGUAGCGGUGAAAUGCGUAGAGAUCAGGAAGAACAUCGGUGGCGAAGGCGCUUUGCUGGACCAUAACUGACACUCAGGGACGAAAGCUAGGGGAGCGAAUGGG